UACAGAGGUCCCGAGCGUUGUUAGGAUUCAUUGGGCGUAAAGGGUGCGUAGGCGGUUUUUUAAGUUUGAUGUGAAAUCCCGGGGCUCAACCCUGGAAUUGCAUUGAAUACUGAAGAACUAGAGAUCUGGAGAGGAAACUGGAAUUUACGGUGUAGCAGUGAAAUGCGUAGAGAUCGUAAGGAAGACCAGUGGCGAAGGCGAGUUUCUGGACAGAUACUGACGCUGAGGCACGAAGGCCAGGGGAGCAAACGGG
rnacentral:rRNA from 1 species